rnacentral:rRNA from 1 species
AUCUUCGGAUCUAGUGGCGCACGGGUGAGUAACGCGUGGGAACCUACCUUUUAGUACGGGACAACGUUUGGAAACGAACGCUAAUACCGUAUACGCCCUCCGGGGGAAAGGCUUGCCGCUAAAAGAGGGGCCCGCGUCUGAUUAGCUUGUUGGUAAGGUAAUGGCUUACCAAGGCUUCGAUCAGUAGCUGGUCUGAGAGGAUGAUCAGCCACACUGGGACUGAGACACGGCCCAGACUCCUACGGGAGGCAGCAGUGGGGAAUAUUGGACAAUGGAGGCAACUCUGAUCCAGCAAUGCCGCGUGUGUGAUGAAGGCCUUAGGGUUGUAAAGCACUUUCAACGGUGAAGAUGAUGACGGUAGCCGUAGAAGAAGCCCCGGCUAACUUCGUGCCAGCAGCCGCGGUAAUACGAAGGGGGCGAGCGUUAUUCGGAAUUAUUGGGCGUAAAGGGCUCGCAGGCUGCUUGAACAGUUAGACGUGAAAUCCCCGGGCUCAACCUGGGAACUGCGUUUAAUACUAGCAAGCUAGAGUAAUAGAGAGGAAAGUGGAACUCCCAGUGUA